AGCAGCCGCGGUAAUUCCAGCUCCAAUAGCGUAUAUUAAAGUUGCUGCAGCUAAAAAGCUCGUAGUUGAAUUUCGGGACUAAUAUGUCGGUCGUGCCUUGGUACGUACUGGUAUUUUUGGUUUCUCCCUUCUGACGAACCUUGAUGUCAUUAAUUUGGUGUCUUGGGAAAUCAGGACUGUUACUUUGAAAAAAUUUAGAGUGUUUAAAGCAGGCUCACGCUUGAAUACAUUAGCAUGGAAUAAUGAAAUAGGACGUUUGAUUCUAUUUUGUUGGUUUCUAGGAUCGACGUAAUGAUUAAUAGGGAUAGUUGGGGGCAUUAGUAUUCAAUUGUCAGAGGUGAAAUUCUUGGAUUUAUUGAAGACUAACUACUGCGAAAGCAUUUGCCAAGGAUGUUUUCAUUAAUCAAGAACGAAAGUUAGGGGAUCGAAGACGAUCAGAUACCGUCGUAGUCUUAACCAUAAACUAUGCCGACUAGGGAUCGGAUGAUGUUAAUUUUUUUAAUGACUCA
rnacentral:misc_RNA from 1 species